rnacentral:rRNA from 1 species
UACGUAGGGUGCAAGCGUUUGUCCGGAAUUAUUGGGCGUAAAGAGCUCGUAGGCGGCUUGUCACGUCGGUUGUGAAAGCCCGGGGCUUAACCCCGGGUCUGCAGUCGAUACGGGCAGGCUAGAGUGUGGUAGGGGAGAUCGGAAUUCCUGGUGUAGCGGUGAAAUGCGCAGAUAUCAGGAGGAACACCGGUGGCGAAGGCGGGUCUCUGGGCCAAUUAACUGACGCUGAGGAGCGAAAGCGUGGGGAGCGAACAGG